CCUACGGGAGGCAGCAGUGAGGAAUAUUGGUCAAUGGGCGGGAGCCUGAACCAGCCAAGCCGCGUGAGGGAAGAAGGUACAGCGUAUCGUAAACCUCUUUUGUCAGGGAACAAAGGCGGGGACUAGUCCCCGGAUGAGGGUACCUGAAGAAAAAGCAUCGGCUAACUCCGUGCCAGCAGCCGCGGUAAUACGGAGGAUGCGAGCGUUAUCCGGAUUUAUGGGGUUUAAAGGGUGCGCAGGCGGCCUGUUAAGUCAGCGGUAAAAGCCCGGGGCUCAACCCCGGCGAGCCGUUGAAACUGGCGGGCUGGAGUUGGAGAGAAGUACGGGGAAUGCGCGGUGUAGCGGUGAAAUGCUUAGAUAUCGCGCAGAACCCCGAUUGCGAAGGCAGCGUACCGGCUCCACACUGACGCUGAGGCACGAAAGCGUGGGUAUCGAACAGGAUUAGAUACCCCAGUAGUC
rnacentral:rRNA from 1 species